UACGGGGGGGUGCGAGCGUUGUCCGGAAUCACUGGGCGUAAAGGGCGCGUAGGUGGUCUGAUAAGGGUGUGGUGAAAGCCCGGGGCUCACCCCCGGAAGUGCAUUGGAAACUGGCGGACUCGAGUCCCGGAGAGGAGAGUGGAAUUCCGUGGUGUGAGCGGUGAAAUGCGUAGAUAUCAGGAGGAACACCGGUGGCGAAGGCGGCUCUCUGGACGGUGACUGACGCUGAGACGCGAAAGCGUGGGGAGCAAACAGG
rnacentral:rRNA from 1 species